rnacentral:tRNA from 1 species
GGCGCUAUGGCGUAGCGGGUUAACGCCCUGGCCUGAAGUGCCGGCAUCCAAUAUGGGCCUUGGUUCUAGUCCCAGCUGCUCCU